rnacentral:rRNA from 1 species
GGUGAACGCUGGCGGCGCGCCUAAGACAUGCAAGUCGAGCGGGCCGCGGGGUUUUACUCCGUGGUCAGCGGCGGACGGGUGAGUAACGCGUGGGUGACCUACCCGGAAGAGGGGGACAACCCGGGGAAACUCGGGCUAAUCCCCCAUGUGGACCCGCCCCUUGGGGUGUGUCCAAAGGGCUUUGCCCGCUUCCGGAUGGGCCCGCGUCCCAUCAGCUAGUUGGUGGGGUAAUGGGCCACCAAGGCGACGACGGGUAGCCGGCCUGAGAGGGUGGCCGGCCACAGGGGCACUGGGACACGGGCGCCACUCCUACGGGAGGCAGCAGUUAGAAAGCUUCCGCAAUGGGCGCAAGCCGGACGGAGCGACGCCGCUGGGAGGGAGAAGCCCUUCGGGGUGUAAACUCCUGAACCCGGGACGAAACCCCCGACGAGGGGACGGACGGUACCGGGGUAAUAGCGCCGGCCAACUCCGUG